rnacentral:rRNA from 1 species
AUUGAACGCUGGCGGCAUGCUUUACACAUGCAAGUCGAACGGCAGCGCGGGCUUCGGCCUGGCGGCGAGUGGCGAACGGGUGAGUAAUGCAUCGGAACGUGCCCAGUAGUGGGGGAUAGCCCGGCGAAAGCCGGAUUAAUACCGCAUACGACCUGAGGGUGAAAGCGGGGGACCGAAAGGCCUCGCGCUAUUGGAGCGGCCUAUGUCGGAUUAGCUAGUUGGUGGGGUAAAGGCUUACCAAGGCGACGAUCCGUAGCUGGUCUGAGAGGACGACCAGCCACACUGGGACUGAGACACGGCCCAGACUCCUACGGGAGGCAGCAGUGGGGAAUUUUGGACAAUGGGGGAAACCCUGAUCCAGCCAUGCCGCGUGCGGGAAGAAGGCCUUCGGGUUGUAAACCGCUUUUGGUCGGGAAGAAAUGCUCUGGGCUAAUACCCCGGGGGGAUGACGGUACCGGAAGAAUAAGCACCGGCUAACUACGUG